AGAGUUUUGGUAUUUCUCUUUCCACCUGCUGGUUGUGUAUCUCCUUCGCACUCCACUGUCUUAGAAGAAGAAUGACCUGUGUCUUGGAAAGGUUAAAAGCAUCAGGCUUUAUCACCUUAAGCAGUGUCUCCUAACUUCAAGACAACGUGACUUUAAAAGUGGAUUCUGGAUUCUCCUUCAGAGUAUACUGAUACACUGGUACUCUCUCUCAAAUACCAGAAAAUUCUACAGUUGUUAGUAUUCACAGAAACUGAUGCUGCUAAAGGUUCAGAACUUCUGCCAUUGUCUGAAUUCUCUGUCUGCUUGGUCUUCAAUCAGUUUUCCACAUAUCUAUCACCAAAAUACUAGAGACUAUUUUAUAGACAGCCACUGCAGCUAAUGUGAGAGUUGAUUUUCAUCAGGGUGUUUUACCUGAUACAGCAGAGUUUACAUCAUCUCCAGUAACUUGAGAAUCUGGCAGACCACAUCAUCCAGAUGUCUGACAUGAGACUCCCAAAAUAAGCCCACUAUUUGUGAGCUCUGUCAAGUAAGUGGUUACCAGGAUGGGAGCUGAAAUGUUUUGAGGAUAUCCUGAAAGCCUCGCUGAAAAACAUGCAAGAUGCCCACUGACUUGUGAGAUUCUGUUGUCCAAGUUGCCCAAACUGGAGAAGAAGCAUUCACAAAGGUGCCAAUCAUUCAGCACCUGAGACAGACCCUAGUGGAGGCCAAAUGCAAACAGUGGAAGAAGUGUACAAAAACCUGGGCAUCACAGCGACCUGCUUCUUCAAGCACCAGUGUGGGUGGAUCCAACAUUGGACUGUUUCAUCACCCCAGGACCCAUAACUUGGAGAGAAAGAAAUUCAUCCUUAAUCUUGAGGGAUAGCCUUAGAAGACAGGAUUGUGUAGGUCUUGCUGUAUGCUGCUUCAUCACCUGAUGAAAUAUAUCAUGAAAUAUAAGAAUUCAAUAUAGUUCCUGCCAUUGCCUUUUUGGAAACAGCAUCUUACUGUCUGCUUUAUUUUGGAAAUGUUUUGAAUAAUGUAUGAUAUUACAUGGAAACCUUGCAUGGUACGUCUAAACCAAGCUUGCCACAGCAAUUAUAUCUUUUCCAUUUAAUUCUGAUUAUCAUUUUAACAUGUUAUU